rnacentral:rRNA from 1 species
GUCCUAGCUGUAAACGAUGGAGACUAGGUGUUGGUUCCGUUAGGAAUCAGUGCCGCAGGUAACCCGAUAAGUCUCCCACCUGAGGAGUACGGCCGCAAGGUUGAAACUCAAAGGAAUUGACGGGGGCCAGCACAAGCGGUGGAACAUGUGGUUCAAUUCGAUGCUACACGAAGAACCUUACCCAGGCUUGACAUACUUGAAGUAGGAACCUGAAAGGGUGACGACUCGUAUCCAGUCGAGAACUUGUACAGGUGCUGCAUGGCUGUCGU